rnacentral:rRNA from 1 species
CGUGUAGGCGGUUCGGUAAGUCCGCUGUGAAAGUCGGGGGCUCAACCCUCGGAUGCCGGUGGAUACUGUCGGACUAGAGUACGGAAGAGGCGAGUGGAAUUCCUGGUGUAGCGGUGAAAUGCGCAGAUAUCAGGAGGAACACCAAUUGCGAAGGCAGCUCGCUGAGACGUUACUGACGCUGAGACGCGAAAGCGUGGGAGCAAACA